rnacentral:rRNA from 1 species
CCUACGGGUGGCAGCAGUAGGGAAUAUUGCUCAAUGGGGGGAAACCCUGAAGCAGCAACGCCGCGUGGAGGAUGAAGGUUUUCGGAUUGUAAACUCCUUUUGUUAGAGAAGAUAAUGACGGUAUCUAACGAAUAAGCACCGGCUAACUCCGUGCCAGCAGCCGCGGUACUACGGAGGGUGCAAGCGUUACUCGGAAGCACUGGGCGUACAGAGCGCGUAGGCGGGUUAGCAAGUCAGAUGUUAAAUGCUAGGGCUUAACCAUAGAAAUGACAUUGAAACUGUUAUUCUAGAGUAUGGGAGAGGUAGGUGGAAUUCUUGGUGUAGGGGUAAAAUCCGUAGAGAUCAAGAGGAAUACUCAUUGCGAAGGCGACCUGCUAGAACAUAACUGACGCUGAUGCGCGAAAGCGUGGGGAGCAAACAGGAUUAGAUACCCCUGUAGUC